rnacentral:sRNA from 1 species
UGUUUGCACUUAGCGGGAAGGGUAAGAACCUUCGACUAAGGUUCGACUCGAGCGCCAGCGAGAGAA